UCGGGCGUGGUGUAGGGCAACAUCUCUAGUGCUGGCACACGAGGAGUAACUAUCUCAAGGCAACCCCGGGUUCGAUUCCCGGCGUCCGAA